CCCUUCCUCCCGAUCCAGUCCCCUCCACUAGAGCCACCAGCUCCCCCCACCUCCGAUCCAGUGCCGCCACCCCAAUCUUCUCCCAGAUCCGGCGCUGCCGCACGCUCACCUCUCCUCCUACUCCCAGAUUCGGAGUAGCCGAGCCUCUCCAAGCCGCCCGCGCUCGCCGACGCAGCCUUCUCCCCGGCACCCGACACCUCUCUCUCACCCACCACCGCCACCGCCUCUCACUCCCGUCGAGCAGAUCAGAUCAGAUCAAGACCUCAGCGCUCAUGUAUCCAGACGGAGCUGGCUGCUGGCAGUUGCACUCCUCUUGCUCCUCCGCUUCCUACUUCCAAGCAUCCAUCCCAUCCCAUCCAUCGUCACAAGCCCCCACGCACCACCAGCAGCGCUGUCUCCGUUGCCCGCCGGCAGCCCUCCUUCCCCCCACAUAUGGUCUGGAGGCGGCUGAUCUCCCGCGCCCGCGGCUACCCUGUCGUCCCUGCCGCCCCGCGGCCCACGCCGUCGCGUCCCCGUCCGCCGGCGGGCCCAGCCGCGGCCGCGGCCUCGCCGCUGCUGCGCCUUCUCCUCCCCCCUCUCCCCGCCUCACCACCGCUUUCUGCCUGCCCCGCUGUAGCGACAGGGUGACUAGUUAUAUGAAUUUCAGCAGCUCUGUGAGGUACAGAGCGACAAGGCAACCAUUGAAAUUACAAGCCAUUUCAAGGGAACGGUACAUCAGAUUCAGUUUGCACCUGGUGACAUAGUAAAGGAAAUGGACUGAUUCCUUUGAAAUUCCUAUGUUGGAAACAGUCCCUUACUCCACUCACGUAACUGUAAAAUGUGUCCCGCUUCUAGGUUUCCAGCACUUGAAUCUUUCGUUAGGAGAGUUUGAAGAUGUUGGUAUAUUCUCAACCAUUGAAUGCUUUUAGUCAUCCUCUUUGCUCGAGUAACAAUGUUCAGAACAACUCUUGUCUAGUCUCCAGGAUAAUAAAUCAAAUUCUUUCAUGUUUCCAAAAAUACUUGUACUCCAUGUUUCCAGAAAACAGUAGCAUCACACAUGUCGAAAAAUACUAUAAUAAAUUAGAAGUAAAAAUACUAGAAUAAAUUAGAAGUGGAUCAUUGCUUGAUUUGUAUACUCGAUGACCAGAACUCGUUCAAGAGCUCUUUAGUCCUUCCAAAACAAGGUCUUGAUGUCCCCCUUACAGAAAAAUGUUGCAUGAUGCGUGUAUGCAUGUUGCGUGUAUGCAUGUUGGAUGGUCACGUUCUAGUGUACUAGCUAGCUAGUAAGCAUUGUUUGGUUAGUGCUCUCCUGCUUGGUUGGCUAAACAUAUUCGUUUGUUUGAUUUGGCUUCACAGCUACAUAUUUUGAUUUGAACUUGGCCUAUGUUUAUGCCCAAUUUAUGUUAAUUAUCUUGAAUGGUGUGGUACCGUGUCUAUGCGCGCACUAAGUGCAUGUCUCUCUCACUUUUGUUCGCAUUUCUUUUAACAUCAUCUUCAGGAUGAACACAAAUCUU